GAUGGUGGGAGUUAACUGGACUAGGAUUCCCCUCAAAAUGUCAAAAUUACAGCUAUUUAACACGUUUCUUACCGACCGAUUAUCAGCGGCUGCUGUGGAGAUAUCCGGGGCAUUAAAUAAAUCGUUAGCAGAGUACAAUGAAUAAUUAUCCCGUUCAAACGAGGAGAUUGAACGUCUACAAAGGCUGCUAGAUUUGGUUUUGGGACCCGAGAGAAAGUUACAUAGAACAGACCACCAGCAGCUCACACUACAGGUAUCUGAAGUGGUUCCUCCUGUGCACAGUAAACAAGAGGGGAGCCCAGUUUGGGCCAAGACCCAGAGCCCACACAGAUUAAAGAUGAACAGGACUCCGAACCCACACAGAUUAAAGAGGAAGACCACCUCAGGACCAGUCAGAAAGAGCACACACAGAUUAAAGAGAGGGAGGAGGAGUUGUUCUGGGUCAGUCAGGGGGGACCAACCUCAAGGGCUGGAGGCUGAUAUCAAAGAGUUCAUAUUCAACCCUACCUAUAUUAAAAGUGACUGUGAUCAGGAUCCACCUCAGCCCUCACACUUUUUCCAAAGACAUACUGUAAAGAACAGACAGAGUGAAUCUCUAUCAACCAACACAACUGAGCAGAUGGAAACAGAAGUGAAUGAAGAGAACUACAGUGAUUCUCAGCUCUUCUCUGCAGUAAAUUCAGAGUGCGCUGCUGAUGAGGCGACUAAAACCAGAGAAAAUGCUUGGGUUGAGAAGGGAGAAACAUCAUCAGGGUUAAAGUGGAGUUGCAAAGGGAAACAAUAUUGUUGCCAUGUCUGUGGCAAAUGCUUCGCUCACAAUACUAAUCUGAGAAUCCAUAUGACCGUUCACACAGGUCACAAGAUUGUGACAUGCUACAGCGCGAAGGCAGACCUGCUAAGGCAUAUGAGGAAUCAUCAUUAUUGGCCGGGGCAUGUUUUGGGAGGACAUUUUAAACAGGAAACCCAUCAUACUGUGAAAAACAAAGUUGCUUUAUUAAUGUGUGAUGACAAGGUGUUUCUGAGAAGAUACAGGCUUGAUCAGGCAGGAAUUAAGUUUGUAUUAGAGUUAGUCAGGGACUCUCACGUCAUCAAAACAUCAAUGUCAAGCCAUUUCUCCUGAAGUUAAAUUACUAAUAACCCUGGGUUACAUGGCCACAGGCAAGAUGCUACCGUGCAGUAGUGACGAUUUGGGACUGUCAAGCUCCUCUAUAGCCCAUGUCAGAACGGUGAUAACACAAACUAUCAAUGACUCAGAUCCUCAACUAGUAAGCCAGUUCGUUGCCUUCCCGCAAGAUGCCAGUCAGCUCCAACACAACCAAGCUAGGUUUAAGGCAAUAGCUGGCUUCCCCAGUGUUGCUGGAGUCAUUGGCACAACCUUUAGAAGCAGCUCAGUAUUAAGUACAACAUACAACAAGGAGUUCAAGAAUUUCCCUGGAGACCCGAUUAUCUUAAUCGACACCCACGUGGUGUUCGAUGCACACUGUAAGAUUCUUUAUGUCGUGCAGAAGAGUGUGGAUCAGGAGAUACUGAGUGAGGGUGGCCUCAAACAGAUUGAGGGGGUUCUUGCUCUUGCUGGAUAUCACUUGCUGGGGGACAGUGGAUACCCUUGCAGACAAUGUCUGCUCACACCUUACCUCCGUCCACUGCCUGGCCCACAGUUGAACUACAAUAGGGCACUUAAGAAAACACGAGGUGUGAUGAGGAGGGGCAUCAGCCAAAUGAAGAGGAGAUUUCCCGUCCUGCAAGCAGACAUCAAGUUGAAGCCAGAGAGGGUGAGUAGGAUUAGUGUCAUCUGUGCCAUCCUGCACAAUAUCUGCCGUGACAGGAAUAUUCCACUGCCUGAGGGGGAAGAUGAUGACGACGGCGAUGACAGUGAUGUCAAAGUGAAAGAUGAUGGAUGAAGAGAAUGGGCCAGUGGAGAGCCUGCCCCCAAGUGAUCUUCACCACAGACUCCACUUUACUGAUCUACAUUUCAAGUAGGCUGUAGAACAGACCCUGAAUGUGUGGCUAUCACCAGUACUAUACAUGACAGUUAGCCAAAAACUAUAUGGAAAUAUGUGUUUAUCGAUAAGUUACAGUUAUCAACUGUUGAUUUUUAGAAUAAAUCGUUAACCCUGUUACAGGCGAGUCAACCCUGGCACUUUUAGUCACCUUUUGAAGUCAUUUUUCUUAAUUUAACCGCUUGAGAUGGUAAAACAUGUUUGUUAUGAAAAAAUGGUUAUUUUUUACAAAACUACACUACCCAAAAGGCACUCUAUUCGUGGAAUGGCUCACAUUUUUUCAAAAAGAAAGGAGGACCAAGGCACUCUUCAUAUAAUUAACUAAAAUGCCUUUAUUAGUAUGGCAUGUUCAAUAGAAACAAGAUUUGUUUGAAAUCCGACGCGUUUCGGCUGCAUGGCCUUCGUCAGGGAGUACAAAGAAGAAAUACAAUGUCCUCUUUUGAACAGCUUUUCCAAUUAGCCCUAAUUUGAAGAGGGAGUGGUUACAAAGUUGAUUGGACACACCUAGUAGGCAAUACUAUACACAUUAAAAAGUGAAAUACUGUAACUAUGUUAUCAUACAAAUACAACUCCAAGUUAGAAGUAUCAGAACACUUAGAAAGGUAGUUCUAACCUUAAAUAUGACUGGGAAAAGUGUCAAAAAUAAGAAAGCAAUAUAUUCCAUAGUACACUAGAAACCAGCAAAACAUGAACAACAACAGUCUAAACAUAGCUGAGGGCAAUUGAGCACAAUGUCCACUAGAUGACAGCAAAUUGACCUAUCACAACCCUACAGGAAGGGUGCGAAAUCCAUAUCUUCAUUUACACCAGGGUAUUUAGUGGCCUGUAGUUUGUAAAUCCAAAAACUUUCCCUUUGGUUUAACUGUUUCAGACGGUCCCCUUUUCUAAUAGAGGCCGGAAUAUGAUCAAUACCCAUAGCUUGUAGGGAGGCAGGGUUACCAUGGUGUAAGGACUUGUAGUGCCUUGCCAUGGGGUAGUGUUCAUUGCCUACCCGUAUGGCGUACUUGUGUUCCGCUAAGCGGUCUUGAAGGGUCUCUUUGUCCGUCCAAUGUAGAACACCUUGCACUGUGGACAUUCCAAUCUAUAGAUGACAUGAGUGGUUUUGCAGUUAAUGAAAUGCUUGACGUAAUACUCCAUUUUGGAAGCUGUGUCAACAAAAUACUUUUUCUGUGCAAUAUUUCUGCAAUGGUUGCACUGGUUACAUUUAAAAGAGCCCUUGGGUUUGUGGUCAAGCCAAGUUUUUUGAGAGUCACCCGGAAGAUAACUGUGGACUAAUUUGUCAUUUAGGGUAGGACAUCUCUUAAAGCUUUAUGACUGGUGGCUCAGGAAAGACUUGGCAUGGUAGCGUCUCACUUUGGAUGAUUCCCCAAUUCUUUUUAAUGAUUAUUUUAAUGUUCUCUGCUUCAGUGCUGUAUUUUGUAACAAAAUACACUCUCUCUGAUGUAUCACGAGGCACUCCCCUUCGCAACAAGUUCUCUCUGUCAAGUAAUCCAGCCCUUAUACCUGCAUCUUUCAGGACCUGAACGCUGUAACCCCGAUUCAAGAAGCGAUUCUCCAAUUCAGCAGAUUUGACACUGUAGUCUGUUUCCUGAUCGCAAAUUCUGCGGACUCUUUGGAAUUGGCGAUAUGGAAUAUUCUCUUUUAGCCUUUUGGGGUGAAAGCUGUCUGCCCUCAGAAUGGUAUUCCUAUCUGUAGGCUUCCUAAAGAUUGAUGUGUGCAAACAACCUUUGUCAUUUUUACUAAUGUCGAGGUCCAAAAAAUGAAUGUUAUCCUUGCUGUACUCCAUAGUUAGUUUGAUGUUAGGAUUAAUGCUGUUAAGGUAUUGGUGGAAGGAAAUCUUCUGAGCCGGACCAAAACAGGCAAACAUCAUCAAUAUAGCGUCCCCACCAUAUAAUCCGGUCAAAGAAAUGGUUAAUAGAAGGAUCCAAAAUGAAGUCAUUUUCCCAUUUACCCAAGUACAAAUCAGCGUAGGAAGGGCUGUAGCAAGCUCCCAUGGCACAUCCUUUGACCUGUUUAAAAAUACGGUCCUGAAAGAUAAAGAUGUUAUGAUUAAGAGUCCAUUCAGUCAGUGAGACAAUGAAUUCUGUAGGAGGCAUCUCAGUUUCAGGUCGGGGACUCAAGAAAUGGUGCAUAGCUGCCAAACCUUGUUCAUGUUCAAUGGUGGUGUAUAGAGACUCCACAUCCAUGGUGACUAAAAAGGAAGCUCUACCUAUAUUAUUCAAUUCCUUAAUUUUGUUCAACACAUCUGCGGUAUCUUGAAGAUAGGCUGGGAGUGACGUCAGAAAAGGCUUAAUAAAGUAAUCAAUGUACUUAGAGAUGGGUUCUGUCAGACUUUCAUUACCACUAAUGACUGGCCUGCCUGGGGGAUUUUCAAGAUUUGUGUACUUUUGGAAGAAGGUAAAAAGAAGCCAUACGUGGACUGCCAUUGAAAAGAAAUUUGAACUCAUUGUCUGAAAUGUAGCCAUUCUCCUUAGCUUCUGUGAGGAUCCCUUUCAAUUCAGUUUUUAGGUCCUCUGUA